GAUGAACGCUGGCGGCGUGCCUAAUACAUGCAAGUCGAACGAAACUUCUUUAUCACCGAGUGCUUGCACUCACCGAUAAAGAGUUGAGUGGCGAACGGGUGAGUAACACGUGGGCAACCUGCCCAAAAGAGGGGGAUAACACUUGGAAACAGGUGCUAAUACCGCAUAACCAUAGUUACCGCAUGGUAACUAUGUAAAAGGUGGCUAUACUACCGCUUUUGGAUGGGCCCGCGGCGCAUUAGCUAGUUGAUAGGGUAAAGGCUUACCAAGGCAAUGAUGCGUAGCCGAAUUGAGAGGUUGAUCGGCCACAUUGGGACUGAGACACGGCCCAAACGCCUACGGGAGGCAGCAGUAGGGAAUCUUCCACAAUGGGCGAAAGCCUGAUGGAGCAACGCCGCGUGGGUGAAGAAGGUCUUCGGAUCGUAAAACCCUGUUGUUAGAGAAGAAAGUGCGUGAGAGUAACUGUUCACGUUUCGACGGUAUCUAACCAGAAAGCCACUGCUAACUACGUG
rnacentral:rRNA from 1 species